ensembl:lncRNA
GGUGUUCACAUGACUGUUUGCUGCACUUAUUUUCCCCACCUCUCACUGCCAUGUGACAUUUUGCCCUUUUUUUCCCCUAAUAAACUAUUACUACAUCACAGAUGAUGCUCUGUGAUGGGAUCACUGUGGAGCUGUCCGGACCAAGUCCUGUCUGGCUCCCAGCAGCCUUGACCAACAUCUGGGUGCAGACACGCCAUUCACCACACAAGUGUAUCAAUUUUGUUUGAAAUUUUAUCUCUGCCCUCUCCUGUAGCUUCUUGUACCAUCUGUGCCAUUGAGUAUGCUGGGGCGCAGAAGUGUGGCUGCAGGUGCUAUGGUGUGUCAUAAGGGAAAUGGUCUGUGAUGAAACAGCUGUUUCUGUAGCAGGAGAGAGGUAGGAAGUUGCCUGCAGCAUGGCUGGAAUGGUGUUAAAAUGAGAGGCAAGCCAAGAGGGUUCAUGGCACUACAAAGAGGAGCUGGGGUUUAAUUAUUAUGCUCCCAUAAAUUUGAGAAAAUGAAUAUUGCCUCUCCACUUUCACAAACUGAAGGGAAAGUAUUUAAGCAUGGCUUUUGCCUUAACUUAAUAACUACAGCUAUAAUAAAGUGAAUUAAACUAUGUGUUUGAUUCAUAAUUGGUAUUUCUGUUACCGCGAGUACAGCCAUUCUCCUCUCAAAUACAUUAAGCUGUAGGAAACUGCUUUUUAUUGGCUGAAGUUUCAUAAUACAUUUAUGUGUUAUUGGAAACAUAAUUCACAUGUAGAGCGUUAUUAAAACCUCACUGGCUUCCAGUUUAAAUCUUUGUGCAGUGAUUUAACUCCUUCCUCAUUUUUACGUGACAUUUUCAUAAUAAUUAAACGUGAAUGUGUCCUUGCAGUCUGUACCCAGACGUUCCGUGGUGAGCAGCAAAGGGAGCGAUAUUCUUCCUGGUCUCAGAUGCUGUAAUAUUAUUGAGUCUAUGAAUUACUUCCCCCUAUCCAGAAUUGCUCCGAAUAGAUCAAACAAAUGCUACUCUUAAGUAAUGGAAAUACGGUACAUUAUAGGGUAUGCUAUGAAUGCUAAUAAUGUCAUUUUUCUCAGAUAUUAAAAGUUUCUCAUUUUCUAUUAUACUGCUUGAUGACAUGCAAUUGUCUUCUGCUGCUAAAUCUAAGCAAUUGUAUUAUUAGUAUGAGAAAAGACCCAUAUUACUAAAGAUUGCAUUUAGAUGUGUAAAAUUUGUCUUGCUAUUCCUGUAUGAUUAUUUAAUACUUGUUUUCAUUACAAAUUAUAAGGAUACAUGGUGGAAUUUUCUUAGCUAAGCUACUAAUUCAUGAAAUCUAGUUUUGUUUGCAAAACAAGUUGAUAACAAGUGUAAUAGGAUCAUGAAAUAGCUUAGGUUGGAAGGGACCUUAAAGCCCACUCAGUUCCAACCCCCUGCUAUGGGCUGAGUGUCCCCACCAGCUCAAGCUGCCCAGUGCCCCAUCCAGCCUGGCCUUGGGCACCUCCAGGGAUGGGGCACCCACAGCUCUCUGGGCAGCUGUGCCAGUAAAUAGUUUCUUCCUAACAUCUAACCUAAGUCUUCCUUCUUUUUGUUUAGUACCAUUUCCCUCUUGUCCUAUCACUUGGCAUCGUUGAACUUCAUGAGGUUUUCAUGGUCCCAGUUCAGGUCCCUCAGGGUGGCAUCCCUUCCUUCUGUUGUAUCAACUACACCACUCAGCCUGGUGUCAUCAACAAACUUCUGAUGGUGCGCUCAGUACCCUUGACUCUGUCAUUGAAGGUGUUGAAGGGCACUGGUCUCAAGAUCGAGGCUCUGGGGGACACCACUCAGCCUCCACCUGGGUGUAGAGCUGUUGAUCGCAACCCUCUGACUAUGAUUAUCCAACCAAUUCCUAAUCUACUCAAUAGGUCAGCCUUCAAAUCCAUAGAUCUCCAAUUUAGUGAUAAGGAUGUGGUGUGGGACCAUGCCAAAAGCCUUGCACGGAUUCAGGAGGCUAUCAGAUGUGACAAACAACUUAAGAGAGGUCCUCUGGAAUGGCAGCUGGAGGCCAAAUAGGAACCCAGUGCAUCUUAAAAGGUACCAGCAAAACUAUUGGCAACUGAAGUGAGCCUACCAUGUUCCAAGUGAAAACUUAACAUGUGUUUUUACUGAAUUGUUUAUGAUAAUCUCUUUGCAAGAAUGUAGAACCACAAUAUCAAUGUCAUUGACAGAAAACAGUGGGUUUUUUAUUUUUAUUUUUUAUUUAGUAACAUUUUCAUUUAGUAACACAAAGUCUGGCAUUUUAGGGGAUUUUCUCUUAGUUCUAAACUUUUUUGGUCAGCUGCUAAGUGGAUACGGAUAUGAACUACAUCUCUGUGUAUUUGUUAUAAACUACUGGGAUACCUGUAUUUUCUGUAGUUGUACAGCAUUUUUUUAAUUACUAUUAACAGUCUGCUUUGCGUAUUGAAAUAUCAGUGAUUCUAACCAUCAAGUACCACCUUAGAAAGAAUAUAAUGCGUUUUGCAGAUGAAACCAGACAUCCAGGUAAAACUGUAGUAAAACAGUUAUUAUUCUAAUAGUUAAUCACUAAGAAGAAGCGACACACAUCUUUUAAUGUCUCCAGGUGAAGGCUAGACAGAUUUAUAGUUGGCUUACUGUUAUUCAAUGAAAAAACGUUUAUCUGGAUUAAUGUAAGAGUAACUUCUUUUGAAAAAUAGCUUUUAAGGUUUGUAAUACAUUUUGGAAGUCAUACACUGUAAUCAUCUUCAUCCUAAACCCGUUCUGUAAAAGCAUUCUAGGUAAGUUUCCUUCAUGUUUGUGUUGAACUAUUGGGAUACACUGUAAAAGCAAACAAACAAACAAAAAAAAACGCCAACACAAUAAUACUAAAUACUUUCAACAGAGACUUUGCAAUAAAAAGUAAAUUUAAAAAUGCAUAUCUAGAAUGCGUUAAUAUCUAAUUGUGAGAAUUUCAGUGGGUACUGCAUUA